rnacentral:rRNA from 1 species
AGCUGGGUUCAGAACGUCGUGAGACAGUUCGGUCCCUAUCUGCCAUGGGUGUAGAAGAAUUGAGAGGAGCUGUCCCUAGUACGAGAGGACCGGGAUGGACAUACCACUGGUGGACCGGUUGUAGCGCCAGCUGCAGUGCCGGGUAGCUAAGUAUGGAAGAGAUAACCGCUGAAAGCAUCUAAGUGGGAAACUCACCUCAAAACUAGUUCUUCCUAUAGAGCCGUGGUAGACCACCACGUUGAUAGGCUGGAUGUGGAAGCGUGGCAACACGUGUAGCUGACCAGUACUAAUAGCUCAAUUGGCUUGAUUUA